rnacentral:sRNA from 12 species
UAGUAGCCUGAUGGAUCGAAAGAUGAAGGGUGAGAAGUUGGAUGGAAAUCUGGAAAAAGGAUUCGCAUGUUGCGUAAGGAUAAUCAACCACAGAGGGCGAGAAGUUUGUCCUUAUCCUCAAAAGGCUAAAAGAGGAGAUAGUGCUUCUGAUAAUUCAGAAGGGCGUCGUGAAACACAUUUUGUGGCUCGUCUGUAACUCCCGGAGGUGAGAACACCUCUUUGUACACGGGGCGAUAUAGGAGUCUAGAAGACUGGCGUGUACCUACA